rnacentral:rRNA from 1 species
AUUGAACGCUGGCGGCAGGCCUAACACAUGCAAGUCGAGCGGAGCGGCGGACGGGUGAGUAAUGCCUAUGAAUCUGCCUGGUCGUGGGGGAGAACGUCCGGAUACGGGCGCUAAUCUCGCAUACUAUCAGAUGAGUCUCGGUUGGAUUCGCCAGUUGGUGGGGUAAAGGCCUACCAAGGCGACGAUCCGUAACUGGACUGAGAGGAUGAUCAGUCACACUGGACAUGUGACAAGGUCAUGACUCCUACGUGAGGCAGGGGUGAGACAUAUUGGGCAAUGAGCGCAAGCCUGAUCCAGCCAUGCGGCGUGUGUGAAGCGGGUCUUCGGAUUGUAAAGCACGUUAAGUUGGGCGGCGGUACCAACCGAAUAAGCACCGGCUAACUUCGUGCCAGCCGCCGCGGUAAUUC